rnacentral:rRNA from 1 species
GACAGAGGGUGCUAGCGUUGUUCGGAAUUACUGGGCGUAAAGGGCGCGUAGGCGGCUCGUUUAGUCGGGUGUGAAAUCCCGGGGCUCAACCCCGGAACUGCAUUCGAUACUGGCGGGCUAGAGACCGGAAGAGGUGGGUGGAAUACCCAGUGUAGAGGUGAAAAUUCGUAGAUAUUGGGUGGAACACCGGUGGCGAAGGCGGCUCACUGGUCCGGUUCUGACGCUGAGGCGCGAAAAGCGUGGGGGAGCAAACAGG